rnacentral:sRNA from 2 species
UCAUAUCUGUAUUUGCUGGGGCUGAAGUGUCUUAAUAUGGUAAUUCUGGGUGUCCUAACGCCCUGCAAUAACAUCACCGGGUCCGAAGACCAGAUGGGAUGCCACAUUCAUCCAGAGCCCGCAUAUCUUCCUACUGGGAAUUCUCUUCCACAUCAAGACAUUCAAGUCUCUGGUUGUUGACUUCUCAAAAAAUAGUACCUUCUGAAUGCUCCACACUGAACCUCAGCGAACAAAGGCUACCACACUUGGAGAUAGUUUAGUUGAUAAAUAACAUGUUCAUCUAGAGGGCAAGAUAUCAGCGGAAGCUUGUUUGACUUAUCCAUGAGAUACGGUAUUCCUAGAAGAAAACCGAAGUACUGGAUGGAGAAAGCGGGGACACUACAGUAAUUCACAAGUUGUCAAACCACAUG